rnacentral:rRNA from 1 species
GAUCAUGGCUCAGAACGAACGCUGGUGGCGUGUCUUAUACAUGCAAGUCGAGCGAGGCAGCAAUGCCUAGCGGCGAACGGGUGAGUAACGCGUAAGCAAUCUGCCCCAUAUCAGGAAAUACCCGUGCCAACGCGCGGUUAAUGUCCAGGAGCGUGGCCUUCCGCAUGGGAGGUUGACAAGAGAUUUAUCGGUAUGGGAUGAGCUUGCGUCCGAUUAGCUAGUUGGCGGGGCAACGGCCCACCAAGGCGACGAUCGGUAGCCGGCCUGAGAGGGUGAUCGGCCACAUUGGGACUGAGAUACGGCCCAGACUCCUACGGGAGGCAGCAGUAGGGAAUAUUGCACAAUGGGGGAAACCCUGAUGCAGCAACGCCACGUGUUGGGAAGAAGCAUUUCGGUGUGUAAACCACUGUCGUGAGGGAAUAAGGCGUCUUCUCGGAGACGUUGAAUGUACCUCGAAAGGAAGCACCGGCAAACUUCGUGCCAGCAGCAGC